GAAACCUCAUCCCAUAGCGUCCCACACAAAGCUGAGGCAUCGCAUGAACCAUGUUCCUCUGCUCCUGCUUCUUCAGUGUGCAGCCCACCACCUUUGCGACAGACAGCGCAAAGCACACAACUCUUCCUAGAGCUCCUGCUCCACAGCUUCCUGGAUACGAUCAUGACAUACAUCAGUGGAAGUGUUCUCAUCAACAG